UGGGAAUAUUAGAUGAGUUAUAUAAUUUUAUGAAUGGAGUUAGACGUCAAGGUGUGUUUGUUAAAUAUCAAAUGAGAAAGUCCAAGAAAUCUCUUAAAAGAAUUAAAAACACAACAAGAAAUUGGUCAUCAUCCUACAAAUCUGUAGAAAUCUUUUUAGAUGUUUAUGAACAUAUUUUAGCAUCAUUAGUUGAAUUAAAAGAUUCUAAUGACCCAAGCACCUCUUCCAUUGCCGAUGGGUUAUUAUCAAGAAUUAAAGAUGAAAAUUUUAUAUUAAGUCUUUUUAUUUUGAAAGAAAUAUUGAAAUGUACACAUGAGGCUUGUAUUGAAAUGCAGGCAGUUGGUAAUGAUUUGGCUUUGGUAACCAAAUUAAUACAACAUACAAAAAAUAAAUUACAAAAACUAAAAGCUAAUGGAGACAAUAUAUUUUUAAAAUUACAUUCCUUAUCUAAUAGUUUUUUGAAAAAGAAUAAUGUAAUAACUGAUUUGUAUAAUAUGAAAUCAAUAUUCAAAUUGGAUCAAAC